GUUUACGGUGACAGGUGUACCGGAGACCAGCACCAUCUUUUAGGCACCUGCUGCCUACACCCAGCGGCAUGACUGACUUCCUAAGGUCAGAGCUGACCUCUUGCUAGCCUGCUGUACAUUCAGACAGGCAGGUUCAUAAGGAAAAGAUAAAAACUCAGGGCAGAAAACACUCCACAUUGAAACAGAAGAGUCAACAAAAAAGAAUGAGGAGAAGAGAUCUGUGAGGCAGGAGGAAGGCCAUGUAACUAAGGUGACAGGAGCCAUGGGGAAGUAUGUCAAGAAACAAAACUGCCCUGUGACAAAAGAUGCCGAGAUAUGAGCACUGGACCAGAAGCCCUUUCCCAUCUGGAGCAGGAGGGUUCACCUUGCACAUCUGUUAGCUAUCAAGGGUUUUGUGUGGUGUCUCCUGACUUUGAACACCUGUAUCCCUUCUUUCUUUUGCUAAUGGUAUCUGGUUCUUCUCUAAGAAGCAUGUGGGACCAAGUAAACCUAUGGCCCAUCUCAUCAGAAUUCUCCCUGCACAGACUGAAGAAAUGCCAUCUCUAGACCAUUUGUUGUAGCUGGCUGGAUUAUCAUCUAGAGGUGCAUACGGACAACCAUUUCUCUGGCCAAUAGAAAGACACGUUUAAGUAGUAGGAAUGAGUUCAUCACACUCUUCCACAAUCACCAAAAAGCACUAAAGCACCAGGCAACAAAAGUCAACAAUACAACACUCGAGACUUUUUUUUUUUUUUUUUUUGGUAUAGUAUCUCCUUUGAAGUGUGUGGCCCUAUAACAUUAAAAAUCCAUUGUUAAUUAGAGUGUGAUAGCAUUUUGCUUCUGUUUUCCCAUAAACUGCU
rnacentral:lncRNA from 1 species